rnacentral:rRNA from 1 species
CCAGACUCCUACGGGAGGCAGCAGUGAGGAAUAUUGGUCAAUGGGCGGAAGCCUGAACCAGCCAAGUCGCGUGAGGGAUUAAGGCCCUGCGGGUCGUAAACCUCUUUUGCCGGGGAGCAGAGGUCCGGACGUGUCCGGGCCGGGAGAGUACCCGGAGAAAAAGCAUCGGCUAACUCCGUGCCAGCAGCCGCGGUAAUACGGAGGAUGCGAGCGUUAUCCGGAUUUAUUGGGUUUAAAGGGUGCGUAGGCGGCGCUUCAGGUCAGCGGUGAAAUACCGGGGCUCAACCCCGGGGCUGCCGUUGAAACCGGAGCGCUAGAAUUCCGAUGCCGUCGGAGGAAUGUGUGGUGUAGCGGUGAAAUGCAUAGAUAUCACACAGAACACCGAUUGCGAAGGCAUCUGACGAAUCGGAGAUUGACGCUGAUGCACGAAAGCGUGGGUAUCGAACAGGAUUAGAUACCCGCGUAGCG